AUUGAACGCUGGCGGCAUGCUUUACACAUGCAAGUCGAACGGUAACAGGCCUUCGGGUGCUGACGAGUGGCGAACGGGUGAGUAAUGCAUCGGAACGUACCCAGAGGUGGGGGAUAACGCAGCGAAAGCUGUGCUAAUACCGCAUGUGAUCUGAGGAUGAAAGCGGGGGACCGAGCAGCAAUGUUUGGCCUCGCGCCUUUGGAGCGGCCGAUGUCGGAUUAGCUAGUGGGUGGGGUAAAGGCCUCCCAAGGCGACGAUCCGUAGCUGGUCUGAGAGGACGACCAGCCACACUGGGACGGAGACACGGCCCAGACUCCUACGGGAGGCAGCAGUGGGGAAUUUUGGACAAUGGGCGCAAGCCUGAUCCAGCAAUGCCGCGUGCGGGAAGAAGGCCUUCGGGUUGUAAACCGCUUUUGGCAGGAACGAAACGGUGUCCGCUAAUACCGGGCGCUAAUGACGGUACCUGCAGAAUAAGCACCGGCUAACUACGUG
rnacentral:rRNA from 1 species